rnacentral:rRNA from 1 species
GAUGAACGCUGGCGGCGUGCCUAAUACAUGCAAGUCGAGCGAACAGACGAGGAGCUUGCUCCUCUGACGUUAGCGGCGGACGGGUGAGUAACACGUGGAUAACCUACUUAUAAGACUGGGAUAACUUCGGGAAACCGGAGCUAAUACCAGCUAAUAUAUUGAACCGCAUGGUGCAAUAGUGAAUGACGGCUUUCCUGACACUUAUAGAUGGUUUCGCGCCGCAUUAGCUAGUUGGUAAGGUAACGGCUUACCAAGGCAACGAUGCGUAGCCGACCUGAGAGGGUGAUCAGCCACACUGGAACUGAGACACGGUCCAGACUCCUACGGGAGGCAGCAGUAGGGAAUCUUCCACAAAGGGCGAAAGCCUGACGGAGCAACGCCGCGUGAGUGAUGAAGGUCUUCGGGUCGUAAAGCUCUGUUAUUAGGGAAGAAAAAAUGUGUAAGUAACUCUGCACGUCUUGACGGUACCUAAUCAGAAAGCCACGGCUAACUUCGUG